UUCCUGUACUAUCGCUGAUAGAGAUCACCACCUCAUCAUAGCAGGAGUUGAAUUCUGGACGAGGCAGCGAAGGAGCUUUAAAUGCCAGCGUUCUUAAUUGGCUCAUCGCUUAAAUUAUAUGAAAGAAGAGUUCAAGGAAUGAGGAUCCAAGGCAAAUCAAGAUCAAGAUCACACAGCAUCUCCAUUGUUUACCAGGUAAACUGUUUGAAGAAUUGUCAGAUACUUGCAUUUAUGGAGGUUUUAACAAAGUCAACCUGUAAUUGCUGCCUCAAUUAAAUGCAAGUUAGAAAACCAAGCAGCUAAUAUACCAAAUUAUUGGGGGAAGAAAUGGCUGACUUUGGUGGAACAAAGAUUUUAUAGUUGUAUGACUACUUUUUAAACAUUAUCAGCAACUGUAAGAUCUAAAGCAUUUAAUGAAUCCAAGAGAGUAGACAUUCCAAGCA